GGUCGAAUGGCAUAGUGGUUAGUGGCACUGACUGCUAUGCCGAAGGUCCCGGGUUCGAUUCCCGGCUGGGGCA
rnacentral:tRNA from 1 species